rnacentral:lncRNA from 1 species
CCUGUUUAAAUAUUCGAUGUUCGUCAUGCAUAACUAAUCUAAUUAGUCAUUGUAUUGUUGUAUUGUUGUUGGAUUAGCCACAACAGUAUAUAUGUGUCAAGGUUUUUUUCAAGGAUUUUUUAGGGCCAUAAAACGGCCCCAAAAACUCAAUCUUGAAUUGAGUUUUGAAACUCAAUCUUCUUACCAAAGUUUUAGUGCAGUAAAAAUGAAGUUGUUGGAGUUAAAUUCGUGACGUGUGGAAAUUAGUUUUCAGUUGGAAACCCGAUAAUUAAGAAAAAAUGGCUGGAAUUCACCUCACAACACAAGAAAAACACGCAUUCGCCAUCUUUGACCAGUUUAUGGUGUCCCUCAGUGCCCCCUGC